rnacentral:tRNA from 1 species
GCCUCGAUAGUCUAAAGAUUUAAAGACAUUCGCACAGAAUGCAAGAGAUCCGGGUUCGAUUCCCGGCUGAGGUA